AUAUAUUAAUUGAUUUAUUAAUUUUUUUUACCAAGAUAAAGUAAAUCGCAACCAUAGUUUCAUAAAAUAAUUUAUUUAAAAAUCAUACAUAAAUAUACAUACUACACAGAUAUGAUACCGUUAAGAUGGUCCCUCCUAACAUACCCGAUCUGAAACGCAAGGAAAACCAUUAUUGGAUGAGGAAAGUAAAUAAUGAUAUGGGAUAUUGUUUCAUUGUUUUGUUGAUUGAAUAGAAUUAAGAACUGUCAUUGAUUUUGCAUUGAUUUUACCUUGCAGGUCAAUUUGGCCUAUUUUAGAUUUUAAUGAAUACUGAGCACAUAUUAACUAAUUGUUUAUUUUGUUCAAAUCAUAAGGAUCAAUAGUGAUAAGAAUGUUAAUGUCAAUCUGGUCUGUCAGUUUUUUUUUUUUUGUAAAUUAUUGUUGCUAAACCAUGGCCUCAAGUUAUAGAUUGCUCCAUAGUUGCAAAUUACUUAAACCAAUGUUGGUACCAGAUAGUACCCAGUAGUUAAACCCAGCAUGUCAACACCUAGGUACUUGACAGAUAAAUGCAUUCCUUAAAAUUUGGAGGGAACCGACAAUCCUAUUUUUAAUAGAUUCAUUCUUUAUCUGGUUCUAGAGUAUGACAGAUAGUUUCGCUUAAUGCGGAUGUGAAAAGGUAGACCCUAUCUUGGCCUAAUUUUUUUUGUAGUUACUAGUAUGUGCUAGGAUAGCUUAAUUGCUGAUUUUCUAAGUAGGCCUAAGAGUUUAUAGGGCUCCUUGUUUUUGUUGUGUUAAAUAAACCCCAGAAAAGGCCACAUUCCAUCUUCGGCCUUCCUGUACCUUCUGCUUAUCCUCUGCUUCUGCUUUUGCUGCAUUUUUGUUGUUACUGCUUCCACCUCACUUGCUACUCCACGUGUUACCACAUCAAGUCGCUUGGAUCAUCACCUCCGGAACCUGCAUUC